rnacentral:rRNA from 1 species
GACGAACGCUGGCGGCGUGCCUAAUACAUGCAAGUCGAGCGCAGGAAACUGACGGAACUCUUCGGAGGGAAGGCAGUGGAAUGAGCGGCGGACGGGUGAGUAACACGUAAGGAACCUGCCUCAAGGAUUGGGAUAACUCCGAGAAAUCGGAGCUAAUACCGGAUAGUUCAACGGACCGCAUGGUCCGCUGAUGAAAGGCGCUCCGGCGUCACCUUGAGAUGGCCUUGCGGUGCAUUAGCUAGUUGGUGGGGUAACGGCCCACCAAGGCGACGAUGCAUAGCCGACCGGAGAGGGUGAUCGGCCACACUGGGACUGAGACACGGCCCAGACUCCUACGGGAGGCAGCAGUAGGGAAUCUUCCACAAUGGACGAAAGUCUGAUGGAGCAACGCCGCGUGAGUGAUGAAGGUUUUCGGAUCGUAAAACUCUGUUGUAAGGGAAGAACACGUACGAGAGGGAAUGCUCGUACCUUGACGGUACCUUACGAGAAAGCCACGGCUAACUACGUGCCAGCCGCCGCCGUAA